rnacentral:tRNA from 1 species
CGAAAUCAAAAUCCGYCGACUUUAGAAAUCGUGAGGGUUCAAGUCCCUCUAUCCCC